GAAUGAGCUUAAAUAUAAUUUCCAGAAGCGAGUAUUUUGUACUCUCCCAUUCCCCAUCAGUAAUGAAUUAAUUAGUUGCUUAGUUGUACCAAGGUAGUACAUAUAUAGAGUGCUGGCAGGUGAUUUUGUCUUGGGCUAAUCCAAUGAUCAUGCUGGAAAUGAAAACAUAAUGACUAGCAGAUCCACAUAUAAUUUGAGAAGAAUCGUGGAUAUCCUCAAAUAGAAAAUAAAGCUUAACCCAUUAAAAAAGAUAAAAGAUGGAGCAUGCUUAAUCUGUUAAUCCUUUUAUUUUCUUUACUAAUGGCAGAUAUAAUGCCUCCAGGUCACCCUUUCUGGGUUCAGGU
rnacentral:misc_RNA from 1 species